rnacentral:rRNA from 1 species
ACACAGUCCAUACUCCUACCGGAGGCAGCAAUGGGGAAUAUUGGACAAUGGGCGAAAGCCUGAUCCAUCCAUGCCGCGUGUGUGAAGAAGGACUCCGAUUGUAAAGCACUUUAUUUUGGGAGGAAGGACAGUAAGAUAAUACCUUGCUGUUUUGACGUUACCGACAGAAUAAGCACCGGCUAACUCUGUGCCAGCAGCCGCGGUAAUACAGAGGGUGCAAGCGUUAAUCGGAAUUACUGGGCGUAAAGCGCGCGUAGGUGGUUUGUUAAGUUGGAUGUGAAAGCCCCGGGCUCAACCUGGGAACUGCAUCCAAAACUGGCAAGCUAGAGUACGGUAGAGGGUGGGGGGAAUUUCCUGUGUAGCGGUGAAAUGCGUAGAUAUAGGAAGGAACACCAGUGGCGAAGGCGACCACCUGGACUGAUACUGACACUGAGGUGCGAAAGCGUGGGGAGCAAACAGGAUUAUAUACCCUGGUAGUCCACGCCGUAAACGAUGUCAACUACCCGUUGGAAUCCUUGAGAUUUUAGUGGCCGCAGCUAACGCAUUAAGUUGACCGCCUGGGGAGUACGGCCGCAGCGUUAAAACUCAAAUGAUGUGACGGCGGGCCGCACAAGCAGUGGAGCAUGUUGGUUGUAUUCGUAGCAACGCGAAGACAUCACCUAGGUCUUCACGUGCAGAGACUAUCUAGAGAUAGAUUGUGCUUUCGUGAGCUCUGACACAAGUGCUGCAUGACUGUCGUCAGCUCGUGUCGUGAGAUGAUGGGUAGUACC